CGGCUGCAGGGCCCCUCCUUCCUCCUCCGUCUCCGGCGACCGCUCCUUCUUGAUCGGCCGCACCUCCACCACCUCCACCUCCACCUCGUCGUCGUCGUCGUCGUCGUCGCGCUUCCGCUUAUGUUGCGGAGGAGGAGGAGGAGGAGGGGGGAGGGGGAGGGGGAGGGAGGGGGCGGAGGAGGUGCCGAUCUCGUUGGGGAAGUUGAGGAUGGCCUUGCAGCCGCGCAUCUUGAAGGCGGCGCGGUCGUAGGCGCGGGCGGCCUCGACGGCGGUGUCGAAGGUGCCCAGCCAAACCCUAGACCCGCGCCGGUUCGGG
rnacentral:lncRNA from 1 species